ACAGGGGAGAGUUUGAUCCUGGCUCAGGAUGAACGCUAGCGGCAGGCCUAACACAUGCAAGUCGAGGGGCAGCAUGGCGUAG
rnacentral:rRNA from 1 species